GACGAACGCUGGCGGCGUGCUUAACACAUGCAAGUCGAACGGUGACGCUGGAGCUUGCUCCAGCUGAUCAGUGGCGAACGGGUGAGUAACACGUGAGCAACCUGCCCUUGACUCUGGGAUAACCCCGGGAAACCGGAGCUAAUACCGGAUACGAACCGCACAGGCAUCUGCGCGGUUGGACAGUGUUUCGGUCAAGGAUGGGCUCGCGGCCUAUCAGCUUGUUGGUGGGGUAACGGCCCACCAAGGCGACGACGGGUAGCCGGCCUGAGAGGGCGACCGGCCACACUGGGACUGAGACACGGCCCAGACUCCUACGGGAGGCAGCAGUGGGGAAUAUUGCACAAUGGGCGGAAGCCUGAUGCAGCGACGCCGCGUGAGGGAUGAAGGCCUUCGGGUUGUAAACCUCUUUCAGCAGGGAAGAAGCGAAAGUGACGGUACCUGCAGAAGAAGCACCGGCUAACUACGUGCCAGCAGCCGCGGUAACAC
rnacentral:rRNA from 1 species